AAUGAGAUGCCUGAUCAAAGGAUUAUUUUGAUAGAAUAAAUCAAGUAGUUAUACUACUUUCAUUG
rnacentral:tRNA from 1 species